CCUACGGGAGGCAGCAGUGAGGAAUAUUGGUCAAUGGUCGGGAGACUGAACCAGCCAAGCCGCGUGAGGGAUGAAGGUACAGAGUAUCGUAAACCUCUUUUGUCAGGGAACAAAGGCGGGGACGUGUCCCCGGAUGAGUGUACCUGAAGAAAAAGCAUCGGCUAACUCCGUGCCAGCAGCCGCGGUAAUACGGAGGAUGCGAGCGUUAUCCGGAUUUAUUGGGUUUAAAGGGUGCGCAGGCGGUCUGUUAAGUCAGCGGUAAAAGCCCGGGGCGCAACCCCGGCCCGACGUUGAAACUGGCAGUGUCGAUUUGGAGAGAAGUAGGCGGAAGGCGCGGUGGAGGGGUGAAAUG
rnacentral:rRNA from 1 species